ACACUCCCAUACUGAGAAAAUGAUCCCACUAGAUUAAAUUGGAGCCUAGAUCAGUGGAGGAAUAUUUCCACAACUCUGCCAGGGCCAGGACAGCCACCAUUAAAAGCUCAGGAGAACUGCUACCAAGAUGCAGAUUUUUGUAAUGGGGAAGACAUCACUCUCUUAUUUGUUGGGGUUCAUUGGUUGAACUCUCUAAUACAAUACAAAAUGUAAAGUCCUGGCAGGAUAAGAAAGGAAUUCCUACUCAUCAGCAGAGUGAUCUUUGCUGGUAAGCAAUUGGAAGAUGGAUGUACUUUGAUGACAGCAUUCAAAAGGAGUCCACUCUUCUUAUUGUGCUGAGACUUUGUGGUGGUGCCAAGGAAGAAGUAUUACACCACUCCCAAGAAGAAUACGCAUAAGAGAAAGAAGGUUAAGCUAACGGUCCUAAAAUAUUACAAGGUGGACAAGAAUGGCAAAACUAGUUGCCUUUGUUGUGAGUGCCCUUCAGGUGAGUGUGGUGCUGGAGUUUUUAUGGCCAGCCACUUUGAAAGACAUUAUUGUGGCAAAUGUUGUCUGACUUACUGUUUCAACAAACCAGAAG
rnacentral:lncRNA from 1 species